rnacentral:rRNA from 1 species
AGUGGGGAAUAUUGCACAAUGGGCGCAAGCCUGAUGCAGCCAUGCCGCGUGUAUGAAGAAGGCCUUCGGGUUGUAAAGUACUUUCAGUAAGGAGGAAGGCAGUUGCGUUAAUAGCGUAAUUGUUUGACGUUACUUACAGAAGAAGCACCGGCUAACUCCGUGCCAGCAGCCGCGGUAAUACGGAGGGUGCGAGCGUUAAUCGGAAUUACUGGGCGUAAAGCGCAUGCAGGUGGUCUGUUAAGUCAGAUGUGAAAGCCCCGGGCUUAACCCGGGAAUAGCAUUUGAAACUGUCAGGCUAGAGUACUGUAGAGGGGGGUAGAAUUUCAGGUGUAGCGGUGAAAUGCGUAGAGAUCUGAAGGAAUACCGGUGGCGAAGGCGGCCCCCUGGACAGAUACUGACACUCAGAUGCGAAAGCGUGGGGAGCAAACAGGAUUAGAUACCCUGGUAGUCCACGCCGUAAACGAUGUCUACUUGGAGGUUGUGGCCUUGAGCCGUGGCUUUCGGAGCUAACGCGUUAAGUAGACCGCCUGGGGAGUACGGUCGCAAGAUUA